ensembl:lncRNA
CGGCCGCGCUGGUCGCUGUCCGCUCCGGUAAGGUGCUGAAACUGACCGUGCUGGACGAGAGGUACCGCGCGGCGCUGCUCUGCCGGCCACAGCAGAUCGCCUUGGAUCCCCGCAGCGUGAAGUUUCUGCUGGGACUCGGGGUGGACUUUGAUAACAUGGAGGGCUGUUGGCACAACGAGCAUUUCUUCACCCGGAUAGGCGUGUUUCAGGAGUACCUGCUGAGCAUCCUAGAGCAGAAGAAACUGAAGGUGGACGUCAAGGUGCAGCUGGGAACCAAGAUCAUGAAGAAUAUUUUCCACCAGUCCUUCAAUGUUUAUAAGACGGACAUCGAGCCUCGUCUCAACGACGUGACGCUGCACCGCAUGCAGUGCAGCCGGCGUCUCUUUGAGAUUCAGUUAUCACACAGACGCAUCAGCGCUGCCUUCAUAGAGGGGGACAAUGUGGCCGUCACCGUGGAGGGGGAGGCGGCGCGCGUCCUCAACUUUGACACAGGUUGCGGAGUGAAUCUGGGUAUGCAAGGACUGGAGUCAAUGGGGACGUUCAUUUACCAGACAGCCACAGCUGUGGACCAGAACGAUGUUCUAGAGGCACUGUCUGCUAAAAUGCAACACUCCAGACAGGUGGCCGAGAGCUUCAAGCAGACAGGCCUGGCUCAAUCAAUUUAUGAAUGAAACACGAGGACGGGCAGGUGAAUGCAUAGUGCCCCCUAGUGGGAAGUGGUGGUGGAUUGUUUGUGUUUACACUGAAUGUUUACAAUGAAUCACUGUUGAUUACACACUGAAAGCAGAUGAACGGACGUGAUCUUUGCCUGGAUGAAUACAGGGUGUAAAGAUGUGACCACAAGUCGUUGUGAUGUACAAUGGGUGGAGCUAUUUAAUUAUGCAUGGAGCACACAUGCCAUGGACACAUUUGCUACGAGGCCUUUGAAGUUCUGUUUUUUCAGGUUGCAAAGCUCGUCAAUUCAAACAGAUGCAGAUGAGAUCUGACACAAUCUACAGUACAUUGUCUAUUAAUGCACUGCACUGGAUUUGGAUUCCUCUGUUAAGUGUCAGAACGAACCGGAUGAGGAGUUUCCUAAAUCUAGUCCAUUGUGUUCUCUUAACAUCGGUGUAAUGAGACUGUUGUGCAGCAACAUCAACAGGAGCUGAAUAAUGCAUUAAACUGUUAUUGUAUGUGAUUUAACAGAGGAGCACAUGUGUAGAAUCUGAUAUCCAGUCUAUCGUGCCGUUUGUCCUUGUGUUUUGCGUGGCGCAAACUGUGUUGAUGACGUUGUGAAGUAUGUGUGUGCUCUUUUUUGUGUACUUUUUAAGCAGGUUUCAAAAGCUCCCAUUAAAUAGGGCAAUUGUAAUAUCACAAACUAAUUUGGCUGGUGUCACAUUCAUUUCUAAAGAACUGAAGUGACAUUUGAGAGAUUGGGAGUAUAAUAAAAUCCUGCUCCUGUUGAAGUGCCAAUAAAUGUGGUGGUUGGGUAUAAGUUAUAUGGAUCGUCUUUACAUAGAACCCCUGUAUGUUUAAUUGGAGAUGAACGCAAUUUAACAAAGGUUAAAGCAACCAGUGUAGGAACUUGUUAGGGGUUUACAAAGAUUUUUGCAAAUCAAAUGAAAAUAAAAUGAAAAAAAACGAUGAG